rnacentral:sRNA from 1 species
UUCAAAUGCACUAAAACUGUUUUGUGGUC